AACCCGGGAAACUGGGUAUAAUCCCCGAUAGAUCUCGGUCGCUGGAAUGCCCCGAGAUCGAGAGCUCCGGCGCCAGAGGAUGGGUCUGCGGCCUAUCAGGUAGUAGUGGGUGUAGCGUACCUACUAGCCUACGACGGGUACGGGUUGUGAGAGCAAGAGCCCGGAGAUGGAUUCUGAGACACGAAUCCAGGCCCUACGGGGUGCAGCAGGCGCGAAAACUUUACAAUGCCGGCAACGGCGAUAAGGGGACCUCGAGUGCCAGGUUACAAAUCUGGCUGUCGUGAUGCCUAAAAAGCAUUGCAUAGCAAGGGCCGGGCAAGACCGGUGCCAGCCGCCGCGGUAACACCGGCGGCUCGAGUGGUAACCGUUAUUAUUGGGUCUAAAGGGUCUGUAGCCGGCCGGAUAAGUCUCUUGAGAAAUCCAGCAGCUCAACUGUUGGGCUUUCAGGAGAUACUGUUCGGCUCGAAGCCGGGAGAGGUGAGAGGUACUU
rnacentral:rRNA from 1 species